rnacentral:rRNA from 1 species
CGCGAAUGGCUCAUUACAACAGCUAUAAUUCACUUGAUCUUGACACAAUCCUACUUGGAUAACUGUGGUAAUUCUAGAGCUAAUACAUGCAUUAAAGCUCUGACCUCACGGGAAGAGUGCAUUUAUUAGAACAAAACCAAGCGGCUUCGGCUGUUUUCGGUUGACUCAUAGUAACUGAGCUGAUCGCAUGGUCUUGCACCGGCGACGUGUCUUUCAAGUAUCUGCCGUAUCAACUUUCGAUGGUAGUGUAUCUGACUACCAUGGUGAUCACGCGUAACGGAGAAUAAGGGUUCGACUCCGGAGAGUUCGCCUGAGAAAUCGCGAACACAUCUAAGGAAGGCAGCAGGCGCGAAAAUUACCCACUCUCAGCACGAGGAGGUAGUGACGAAAAAUAACGAGACCGUUCUCUUAUGAGGCCGGUCAUCGGAAUGGGUACAAUUUAAACCCUUUAACGAGUAUCUAUGAGAGGGCAAGUCUGGUGCCAGCAGCCGCGGUAAUUCCAGCU